CUAGGAAUGUGCGAUAAUGAGAGACAGAAUUAAGAUUCAACGAAACCGAGUUUCGAUCGUUCGUAGCGAUGAGCAAAAAAUGCAGCCUGUUACAUUAGGCACGAGCAAGUGGCCGGGUUUAAACGAAUCGUUAUCCACUGGAGAGUAUAUCUACCUUUGCGGUAGAAGAAAGCGACGUAUCGUAAUGCAUAUGCAACUAACGUUGAUGAUCGACUGAUGUUUGAGAUGAAGAAAUUUCCGUGAGAAA